GACGAACGCUGGCGGCGUGCUUAACACAUGCAAGUCGAACGGGAUCCGGGCUUUCGGGUUUGGUGAGAGUGGCGAACGGGUGAGUAACACGUGAGUAACCUGCCCCCUUCUUUGGGAUAACGUCGGGAAAUCGGCGCUAAUACUGGAUAUUCUUGCUGCAUCGCAUGGUGUGGUUUGGAAAGGGUUUCUGGUGGGGGAUGGGCUCGCGGCCUAUCAGCUUGUUGGUGGGGUGAUGGCCUACCAAGGCUUUGACGGAUAGCCGGCCUGAGAGGGUGUCCGGCCACACUGGGACUGAGACACGGCCCAGACUCCUACGGGAGGCAGCAGUGGGGAAUAUUGCACAAUGGGCGCAAGCCUGAUGCAGCGACGCCGCGUGAGGGAUGACGGCCUUCGGGUUGUAAACCUCUUUCAGUAUGGAACAAGGAUCCUUCUUUUGGGGGGUUUGAGGGUACGUGCAGAAGAAGCGCCGGCUAACUACGUG
rnacentral:rRNA from 1 species